rnacentral:rRNA from 1 species
GAUGAACGCUGGCGGCGUGCCUAAUACAUGCAAGUCGAGCGAAUGGAUUAAGAGCUUGCUCUUAUGAAGUUAGCGGCGGACGGGUGAGUAACACGUGGGUAACCUGCCCAUAAGACUGGGAUAACUCCGGGAAACCGGGGCUAAUACCGGAUAACAUUUUGAACCGCAUGGUUCGAAAUUGAAAGGCGGCUUCGGCUGUCACUUAUGGAUGGACCCGCGUCGCAUUAGCUAGUUGGUGAGGUAACGGCUCACCAAGGCAACGAUGCGUAGCCGACCUGAGAUGGUGAUCGGACACACUGGGACUGAGACACGGCCCAGACUCCUACGGGAGGCAGCCGUAGGGAAUCUUCCGCAAUGGACGAAAGUCUGACGGAGCAACGACGCGUGAGUGAUGAAGGCUUUCGGGUCGUAAAACUCUGUUGUUAGGGAAGAACAAGUGCUAGUUGAAUAAGCUGGCACCUUGACGGUACCUAACCAGAAAGCCACGGCUAACUACGUGCCAGCCGCCGCGGUAA